rnacentral:rRNA from 1 species
CUAGUGAUAGCUGGUUACUCAAGAAAAGGAUUUCAGUCCAACCUAAAGCUUUCUCAAUUUAUAAAAAUACCUUUUACGGCUUUAGAGCAAUUCAAAUAAGGUACAGCCUAUUUGAAACAGGAUACAACCUCAGCUGACGGGUAAAUUUAAAAUCUUAUUACAAUCAAGUGGGCCUAAGAGCAGCCACCUUCAUAAAAGCGUCAAAGCUUAUUUGUACUUCCCCCAACAAAUCCCCUAAGUCACCCUUAACCCUCUAACAGUAUUGAGUAAUUCUAUUCACUUAUGGAACUUACAAUGUUAAAACUAGUAACAAGAAGUAAACCUUCUCUUUAAUGUAAAUAUAAAUCAAAAAGGAUAACCCACUGAUAAUUAACGUCUAUGAGCCCACAUUAACAACUCUACGAGAAAGCCCUAAUGUUUCCUACGUUAACCUGACACAAGAACAUUUCAAGAAAGAUUAAAAGAAAAAGAAGGAACUCGGCAAACUACUAACCCCGCCUGUUUACCAAAAACAUCGCCUCUUGAAUAAAUUAUAAGAGGUCCCGCCUGCCCAGUGACCCCCCAGUUCAACGGCCGCGGUAUCCUAACCGCGCGAAGGUAGCGUAAUCACUUGUUCUUUAAAUUGGGACUAGUAUGAACGGCACCACGAGGGUUAUACUGUCUCCUCUUUCUAAUCAGUGAAACUAAUCUCCCCGUGAAGAAGCGGGGAUACAACUAUAAGACGAGAAGACCCUAUGGAGCUUAAAAUUUUAUUUCAACUGCCGCGCCCAUAAAAGUUCCGACCACCCGUAAUUUACCUCGCACUAUGAUAAUAAAUUUUAGGUUGGGGCGACCAUGGAGAAUAAAAAAACCUCCACAUUGAAUAAAGGCCUCUUAGCCUUGAGCCAAGAGCUACGACUCUAUGUACUAAAACAUUAACACCCAUUGACCCAAUUAUUUGAUCAACGAACCAAGUUACCCUAGGGAUAACAGCGCAAUCCACUUUAAGAGCCCCUAUCGACGAGUGGGUUUACGACCUCGAUGUUGGAUCAGGGUACCCCAGUGGUGCAGCCGCUACUAAAGGUUCGUUUGUUCAACGAUUAAAACCCU